GUCUGUGGGCCAGGCCUGUUUUCCAGAGCAGCUUUCUGGCCCUGGAGUGUGCCCCUCUCCUGAGGCCUGUCUACCUAAUGCAGGACUAGGCUGCAGCCCUCUCUUCCCUUCCUCAUUCCUCCUUCAGCUCUCAGUUCAGCAGCCUGGCACAGAGAACAGGUGGCGGAUCCCCUGCUAUGCACUGAGCAGCGGCUCUGCAGGGUGCUGUGCUCUGGGCCCCGAGGUGCAGUGAACCUGGGCCCGCCCUGUGAGGCCCACGACCUGAUGGAUGGGAGACAGACAUCACUGGCACCUGUGCCCUAUGUGCAGAGAGCCGGGAUGGGGAAACGGAGGGUGCCUACAUCCUUGGUGCAGGCAUACGAGGUCCUGACCACCUUGGCCCACCUUGGGACAGAUCUGACGGACCAUUGAAGCUUCACUGCUCCUGCGGCAUCCACCGAGGCUCUCUGUGAACCUGAUGACAGCUCCAUCUCUCUCCCUGUCCACUCCUUCCUUCCAGAGCUCUCCCUUCCACGGGCGUUCGUCCCAAAGACACUCUUUAGCAAAAAUCCUGCUCACCAAGCUCCAUCUCAGAAUCGGCUUCUGACUGGCCCCAGUGAAUCACAGCCUAUGUCCACCCCUUCACAGUAACUGUGCUUUCCUCCCUUCCAGAGGGGCAGCCUAUUUCUCCCCACCUUGAAUCUGAGCUGGCUUCGUGACUUGCUUUGACCAAGACAACGUGUAGAAGUGACGGUUGGGACUUCUGAGCCCGAGUUUAAGUGGACUUGCAGUUUCACCUUCACUCUGGGAACCCAGCGCCAUGUAAACAAGUCCAGGCUGUCCUGCUGGAGGGAGAUGAUAUGGAGGAGAACUGCGGCAGCCCAGUAGAUAGCCAGCACCAUGGCCCCAGGCAAGCAAGAGAGGAAGAGAGGCCCUUGUGGCUCUUUCAGCCUUGGUUGGGCUGCCGUGGCCAACACAACUGGAGCAGAGAUAAGCUAUCUCUGCUGAGACACACAAAUUCUGACCCAGAGAAUUGCGAGUAAUAAAAUGACUGUUGUUUGAAAGCCCUAAGUUUUGGGGUGGUUUGUGAUUCAGCGAUAGAUAACUGAAACAGCAUGGCUGCACCAGCAGGAACGUGCCAGGCUCGUGAUCAUGCAGGGUGGCUACCCAUCCAUUGCAAAACCUCACAGUGGGUGGCCUUCCUGCUAGCGACCACAGGGUUAAGUGCAGCUAUGCCUCCUACCACUAACCCCCAGGAUGAGGUUCUGUUUUUCCAUCCCUGAGACCAUCAAUGCUCAUCUCAUUUCCACUCUUGGAACAGGGACAUGCCAGCACUAUUACCUCUUAAGCUCUCUGUGUCUGUAGAGAGAAGCAACUCACUGCCAAAGGAGCAAAUGAGGCCCAGCUUUCUGCAGCAACAUCCAUCGUCCUGUGCUGCUCCAGGCAGAAUCCCAGCGUAUAAUUCCCUUCUGCGGGAGCUGGCUCAGAGUGCAUCCAUCUUCACAAGCUCAUUAUUCAUCUGAUUAUUUUCAUGCCGUCCCAGUGGGGAAUAAAAGCCAUCAAUAAAUCACAACGAUGCUGCAGAUUAUACUAAAUGACCUGGGCAGAGAGCUGGCUGUGCCAGUUGCUGUGACCACAAAAGCCAGAGCUGCUCGUGUGCGGCGCUCCUCCAGGGCUGAAAAAAUGUGCAUCCUGUUCUCGCCCUGACACCAGUCCACCUCCUCACUUGCCCUCAGUAUCCUCAUUUGCCCUAGUGUAAUUAAAAUCCAUGAGCACGGGAGCCCCAGCCUUGCCAGAAGACCUGAGUUCAGCCUCUGCAUCGGCUGUGUGAUAUGGGGUUGGCUGCUUAGCCUCUCUUAAGCUUUGGGCUCCUCUUUGUGAAAUGGCCAGAAAUCAUUGCUGUGAGAGCUCAGUGAGAAAAUAAAUGUGCUAUUUGCACAUUGCAAAGUGCCGUAUAUGUGUGAGGGUGGCAUCUUGAUGGCCAUCAUUUCAGAGUGACCAGAACAUGUCGAGGGUUCCCGAGGAGAAAUGGAUUGGACUAGACACUGAGGUGCCGUGAGCAAUCAUCACAUGAUUUCUUGACUUCAGUUUCCUCACAUUUCCAAAUGGACCCAGUAGUAUUUGGCCCAUCAGUUUCAUAGCGCAAUUGUAAGGCUCAAAUCAAAUAACAGCGAGAGGAGCCCUUUGGCAAAGCAUCAAGUUGUAGAAAUGGAAGAUGUUUACUGGGUCAUUCCUUCUCUAAACGCUGUUGUUUUUGUCUUGUUUGUUUUGUUUCUGCCAAUCUUCCUGUUUCUUUGGUUUUCAGUAUUAUU
rnacentral:lncRNA from 10 species